rnacentral:tRNA from 1 species
AGCAUAGUUGGUAGAGCAUGGUGUUUGCAACGCCAGGGUUGUGGGUUUGAAUCCCAC